rnacentral:rRNA from 1 species
UACGUAGGGGGCAAGCGUUGUCCGGAUUCAUUGGGCGUAAAGGGCGCGUAGGCGGCCUUCUAAGUCGAACGUGAAAUCCCUGGGCUCAACCCAGGAACUGCGUCCGAUACUGGAAGGCUUGAAUCCGGGAGAGGGAUGCGGAAUUCCAGGUGUAGCGGUGAAAUGCGUAGAUAUCUGGAGGAACACCGGUGGCGAAGGCGGCAUCCUGGACCGGUAUUGACGCUGAGGCGCGAAAGCCAGGGGAGCAAACGGG